CAGGCUUAACACAUGCAAGUCGAGGGGCAGCAUGGUCUUAGCUUGCUAAGGCCGAUGGCGACCGGCGCACGGGUGAGUAACACGUAUCCAACCUGCCGUCUACUCUUGGACAGCCUUCUGAAAGGAAGAUUAAUACAAGAUGGCAUCAUGAGUCCGCAUGUUCACAUGAUUAAAGGUAUUCCGGUAGACGAUGGGGAUGCGUUCCAUUAGAUAGUAGGCGGGGUAACGGCCCACCUAGUCUUCGAUGGAUAGGGGUUCUGAGAGGAAGGUCCCCCACAUUGGAACUGAGACACGGUCCAAACUCCUACGGGAGGCAGCAGUGAGGAAUAUUGGUCAAUGGGCGAGAGCCUGAACCAGCCAAGUAGCGUGAAGGAUGACUGCCCUAUGGGUUGUAAACUUCUUUUAUAAAGGAAUAAAGUCGGGUAUGGAUACCCGUUUGCAUGUACUUUAUGAAUAAGGAUCGGCUAACUCCGUGCCAGCAGCCGCGGUAAUACGGAGGAUCCGAGCGUUAUCCGGAUUUAUUGGGUUUAAAGGGAGCGUAGAUGGAUAUUUAAGUCAGUUGUGAAAGUUUGCGGCUCAACCGUAAAAUUGCAGUUGAUACUGGAUAUCUUGAGUGCAGUUGAGGCAGGCGGAAUUCGUGGUGUAGCGGUGAAAUGCUUAGAUAUCACGAAGAACUCCGAUUGCGAAGGCAGCCUGCUAAGCUGCAACUGACAUUGAGGCUCGAAAGUGUGGGUAUCAAACAGGAUUAGAUACCCUGGUAGUCCACACGGUAAACGAUGAAUACUCGCUGUUUGCGAUAUACUGCAAGCGGCCAAGCGAAAGCGUUAAGUAUUCCACCUGGGGAGUACGCCGGCAACGGUGAAACUCAAAGGAAUUGACGGGGGCCCGCACAAGCGGAGGAACAUGUGGUUUAAUUCGAUGAUACGCGAGGAACCUUACCCGGGCUUAAAUUGCAGAUGAAUUACGGUGAAAGCCGUAAGCCGCAAGGCAUCUGUGAAGGUGCUGCAUGGUUGUCGUCAGCUCGUGCCGUGAGGUGUCGGCUUAAGUGCCAUAACGAGCGCAACCCUUGUUGUCAGUUACUAACAGGUUCCGCUGAGGACUCUGACAAGACUGCCAUCGUAAGAUGUGAGGAAGGUGGGGAUGACGUCAAAUCAGCACGGCCCUUACGUCCGGGGCUACACACGUGUUACAAUGGGGGGUACAGAGGGCCGCUACCACGCGAGUGGAUGCCAAUCCCAAAAACCUCUCUCAGUUCGGACUGGAGUCUGCAACCCGACUCCACGAAGCUGGAUUCGCUAGUAAUCGCGCAUCAGCCACGGCGCGGUGAAUACGUUCCCGGGCCUUGUACACACCGCCCGUCAAGCCAUGGGAGCCGGGGGUACCUGAAGUGCGUAACCGCGAGGAGCGCCCUAGGGUAAAACUGGUGACUGGGGCUA
rnacentral:rRNA from 1 species